UCCACCUCACACACAAAAAUCAUGGACAUGGCUCCUCUUUCACGACCCGUGCACUAACUUUCCUCCUCCUUCCUCUUUCGCGAAAGAUACUCUCGUGACCUAUCUCUCCUCCUCCUCCUUCCUCUUUCACGAUUCUCCUUCGCGAUUCUCCUCUCAUGCCCUAACUCUACGCCUCCUCCUUCCUCUUUCAUGAAGCUCCUCAGCAAAGCUCCCAAGCCGCUUCUUCCCUCUCGUUCUCAAAGAGAGGAGUGAAGCCCGUCCCCUUCGUGCCCUAAGUUCUUCGGCCGCAGCCUCGCAUUCUCCUUUCUCUUCCUCCUAGCGAGGAGCGAGCCGCUUCUUCCCUCCCAUUCUCAAAGAGAGGAGCGAAGCCCGCCCGUCCAAAAAAACAGAGUCGAAGCCCUGACCUAGCUACGGGGUCAAGUUAUAGCACCAGCAGACAGGGAGCACAUCAAGUUUGAGCACUCUUUGAGGUAGAAGGGAUCAUCAUUCUGAAAACGAUAUGUCAGCUUAAUGUAAGGUUGUUGCAGAUGUUAAACAAGGACCGCGAGAAAGCUGAAGACUCCAAGCCUUCUGCAACUACUGCUAUUGUAAACUAGGAUCGCAUAACCCUUUACUUUCUACUACAAGUAUUUUUAUGCACUGAAACACGAUCACUUAGUUUAUCUAGAGGUCGAUUUUGCACCUAACGUCGUCUGGAUUCUUGCUUGGCCGCCAAGAUCACUCCAAUGUAUUAUCACAUAGCAAAAACAUUUAAUUCAUUCGAAGGUGAUACUUUAAUUAUGAUUAUCAAUUUGUUAGUUACGUUGGAUCAUAUAUUUAAGUAUUUGGGGCUCAAAUCAAAUAAAUAGCUUAUGGUGUAAAUUUUAUUUU